rnacentral:rRNA from 1 species
ACGGGUGAGUAACACGUGGGAAAUCUGCCCUGCACUCUGGGACAAGCCUUGGAAACGAGGUCUAAUACCGGAUAUGACCUGUCCUCCCAUGGGGAUGGGUGGAAAGCUCCGGCGGUGCAGGAUGAUCCCGCGGCCUAUCAGCUUGUUGGUGGGGUGAUGGCCUACCAAGGCGACGACUGGAAGCCGGCCUGAGAGGGCGACCGGACACACUGGGACUGAAACACGGCCCAGACUCCUACGGGAGGCAGCAGUGGGGAAUAUUGCACAAUGGGCGAAAGCCUGAUGCAGCGACGCCGCGUGAGGGAUGACGGCCUUCGGGUUGUAAACCUCUUUCAGCAGGGAAGAAGCGCAAGUGACGGUACCUGCACAAGAAGCACCGGCUAACUACGUGCCAUCAGCCGCGGUAAUACGUAAGGUGCGAGCGUUGUCCGGAAUUAUUGGGCGUAAAGAGCUCGUAUGCGGCCUGUCUCGUCGGAUGUGAAAGCCCGGGGCUUAACCCCGGGUCUGCCUUCCAUACGGGCAGGCUAGAGUGUGGUACGGGAGAUCGGAAUUCCUGGUGUAGCGGUGAAAUGCGCAGA